GGGUGAGUAAUGUAUCGGAACGUGCCCAGUCGUGGGGGAUAACUGCUCGAAAGAGCAGCUAAUACCGCAUACGACCUGAGGGUGAAGGCGGGGGAUCGCAAGACCUCGCGCGAUUGGAGCGGCCGAUAUCAGAUUAGGUAGUUGGUGAGGUAAAGGCUCACCAAGCCGACGAUCUGUAGCUGGUCUGAGAGGACGACCAGCCACACUGGGACUGAGACACGGCCCAGACUCCUACGGGAGGCAGCAGUGGGGAAUUUUGGACAAUGGGCGCAAGCCUGAUCCAGCCAUGCCGCGUGCGGGAAGAAGGCCUUCGGGUUGUAAACCGCUUUUGUCAGGGAAGAAAAGGUUCUGGCUAAUACCUGGGACUCAUGACGGUACCUGAAGAAUAAGCGCCGGCUAACUACGUGCCAGCAGCCGCGGUAAUACGUAGGGUGCAAGCGUUAAUCGGAAUUACUGGGCGUAAAGCGUGCGCAGGCGGUUAUGCAAGACAGAGGUGAAAUCCCCGGGCUCAACCUGGGAACUGCCUUUGUGACUGCAUGGCUAGAGUACGGUAGAGGGGGAUGGAAUUCCGCGUGUAGCAGUGAAAUGCGUAGAUAUGCGGAGGAACACCGAUGGCGAAGGCAAUCCCCUGGACCUGUACUGACGCUCAUGCACGAAAGCGUG
rnacentral:rRNA from 1 species